AUUGAACGCUGGCGGCAUGCCUUACACAUGCAAGUCGAACGGUAACGCGGGGCAACCUGGCGACGAGUGGCGAACGGGUGAGUAAUGUAUCGGAACGUGCCCAGUUGUGGGGGAUAACUGCUCGAAAGAGCAGCUAAUACCGCAUACGACCUGAGGGUGAAAGCGGGGGAUCGCAAGACCUCGCGCAGUUGGAGCGGCCGAUAUCAGAUUAGGUAGUUGGUGGGGUAAAGGCUCACCCAGCCAACGAUCUGUAGCUGGUCUGAGAGGACGACCAGCCACACUUGGAAUGAGACACGGCCCAGACUCGUACGGGAGGCAGCAGUGGGGAAUUUUGGACAAGGGGGGCAAGCCUGAUCCAGCCAUGCCGCGUGCGGGAAGAAGGCCUUCGGGUUGGAAACCGCUUUUGUCAGGGAAGAAAAGACUCCUGUUAAUACCGGGGGUUCAUGACGGUACCUGAAGAAUAAGCACCGGCUAACUACGUGCCAGCCGCCGCCGUAACAC
rnacentral:rRNA from 1 species